rnacentral:rRNA from 1 species
UAUCAACGGCACCACGAGGGUUAGACUGUCUCCUUUUUCAAAUCAGUGAAAUUAAUCUCCCCGUGAAGAAGCGGGGAUACUCAUAUAAGACGAGAAGACCCCAUGGAGCUUCAAACCCAACUACACCCCUAGCUCUUAUAGCCCCACAACCCCCCUAGGCACCGUGUGCUUGGUUUUAGGUUGGGGCGACCGCGGAGUACAAUAAAACCUCCACAAUGAAUGGGAACACCCCCUUAUCUGAGGGCCACACCCCCUAAGAAUUAGAACACUAACAUAAAAUGAUCCAUUACUUGAUCAAUGAACCAAGUUACCCUGGGGAUAACAGCGCAAUCCAUUUCAAGAGCCCCUAUCGACAAAUGGGUUUACGACCUCGAUGUUGGAUCAGGGUACCCCAGUGGUGCAGCAGCUACUAACGGUUCGUUUGUUCAACGAUUAAAACCCU